rnacentral:rRNA from 1 species
CAGUAGCCGCGGGAAUACGUAGGGUGCAAGCGUUAAUCGGAAUUACUGGGCGUAAAGCGUGCGCAGGCGGUUAUAUAAGACAGAUGUGAAAUCCCCGGGCUCAACCUGGGAACUGCAUUUGUGACUGUAUAGCUAGAGUACGGCAGAGGGGGAUGGAAUUCCGCGUGUAGCAGUGAAAUGCGUAGAUAUGCGGAGGAACACCGAUGGCGAAGGCAAUCCCCUGGGCCUGUACUGACGCUCAUGCACGAAAGCGUGGGGAGCAAACAGGAUUAGAUACCCCGGUAGUCCCUGUCUCUUAUAA